UACGGAGGGGACUAGCGUUGUCCGGAUUUACUGGGCGUAAAGAGCGCGCAGGCGGUCGUUCAAGUCGCGUGUGAAAGCCCCCGGCUCAACUGGGGAGGGUCACGCGAUACUGAUCGACUCGAAGGCAGGAGAGGGUAGUGGAAUUCCCGGUGUAGUGGUGAAAUGCGUAGAUAUCGGGAGGAACACCAGUGGCGAAGGCGACUACCUGGCCUGUUUCUUGACGCUGAGGCGCGAAAGCUAGGGGAGCAAACGGG
rnacentral:rRNA from 1 species